UGUCUCCUGGUUCCAGCAGCACAGGCGGAGAACGUCUGCACUUGUUUAGCCCUUCGUGUUUGUGUACGCUCAAUUCUAUCCUUCUUCCUCUUCUUGUUUUUUCCACCUUUCAUUUUUCGUACACGCUACGACAUCAUGCCAGGACCACACGUGUUGUCAUGGUAACAGCACAUCGGCUAUUUGGAGUUCUUGCAUGUUGGCGACAACAACUCGUAAAUACUUGGAGAAGGUGUCUCUGUCCAGGAGGUUCCUGAAAGACAAGGAGAAGAAGAAUGAGCAAGAAGACAAACGUGAAAAGUGAUUGAAAGGCGAGCAGCAGUCGAGGAGGAGAGAAGAGAAGAAAAAGGGAGAGUGAGGAGCGGAGGAUGAAACGGUGAAGGAGAAGAAGGAGAAAGAAGAGAGCCGACGUAAGAAGAAGAGGAUUCAAACCUCAGAUGUUCCAUUGAGAGAAGAAGAAAGAGGGCAAGCGUGUGAAGAAGAAAGCACACCUUGACACCGCUCACCUUGGUCGUGUGUUUGUGCUGCGUUCAAAGACUCCUUCAUCAUGGGAAAUUGUGCCGACUCAGCUUCUCGUGCCUCGGAGGGCCAAUGAGCAGACUAAUGUGCGCACAUCUGCAGCGCGGGAAAAAGCUGCGCGCGCAGUUUUGAAAUGAGCCUCAGUCGGCAUGAACGCUGACCAUCCCGAAACACGAACAAAGGUCAGGAGCGGCGUUCCAAGCUUAGGACGGAUUUUUUUUUAAUUAACGUUUUAUUAAAUCUCCCUGGUUGCUUCCAGCUGUACGAUACGUUUAAAAAAUAAUGAAGUACUUUUAAAUUAAAGCAACAAUGACUUUCAUUCUCGGAGUCAAGAGGUGAAACUGAAUGCCGUCACUGCCCUCUGGUGGACAAAAGGGGUAAGUGACGUUUCAUCGACUUUUAUGGGAAUUACUUUCUUUCUGGCUUUUUCGGAGCCAUGUUUGUUUAUGUUUAUUUUCUUCCAUUUCAAUUUGUAAAAGUUUUUUUUUUUAAUGUCAAUCAAUAUUGAAAAUAUUUUAUUGAAAAAGUUAAGCUAGAGUGUUUUUCAACCUUUUUUGAGUCAAGGCACAUUUUUUGCGUUGAAAAAAUCCGCAGGCAGACUACCAGAAUAAAUCAUUAAAAAAGGAAACUCAGUUGACGGUAAAAAAUCGUAGCAAUUGUUGGAUAUGACUUUAAAGCAUAACCAAGCAUGCAUCACUAUAGCUCUUGUCUCAAAGUAGGUGCGCUGUCACAUCACACCCUGACUUAUUUUGACUUUUUUGCUGUUUUCCUGUAUGUAGUGUUUUAAUUAUUGUCUUGUUCUCCUAUUUUGGUGGCGUUUUCUCUUUUUUUGUUAUUUUCCUGUAGCAGUUUCAUGUCUUCCUUUGAGCGAUAUUUCCCACAUCUACUUUGUUUUAGCAAUUCAACAAUAUUUCAGUUGUUUUUAUCUUUCUUUGUGGGGACAUUGUCGAUUGUCAUGUCAUGUUCAGAUGUACAUUGGGGAAGCCGUCUUUGCUCCACUGCAAGUCUUUGCUGUCGUCCAGCAUUCUGUUUUUGUUUACUUUGUAGCCAGUUCAGUUUUAGUUUUGUUCUGCAAAGCCAUCCCUAAGCUUCAAUGCCUUUUCUUAGGGGCACUCACUUUUUGUUUAUUUUUGGUUUAAGCAUUAGACACAAUUUUACCUGCACCCUGCCUCCCUCUGUUUCCGACAUCUACAAAGCAAUUAGCAACGGCUGUCACCGACUGGUAUGGAAUAGUAUCACACGGUUACUCUGCCGAGCUCUAGACAACACCGACGCUCAACAACAACACAUAAUUUACAGACUAUAAUUACUGGUUUGAAAACAAUUUUAACCCAAAUAGGUGAAAUUAGACAAUCUCCCACGGCACACCAGGCUCGCGGCACAGUGGUUGAAAAACACUGCACUAUGUGACACCAGGGAGGUCACUUCCGUCUGUGUUAAUAA